CCUACGGGGGGCAGCAGUGGGGAAUUUUCCGCAAUGGGCGAAAGCCUGACGGAGCAACGCCGCGUGAGGGAUGAAGGCCUCUGGGCUGUAAACCUCUUUUAUCAAGGAAGAAGAUCUGACGGUACUUGAUGAAUAAGCCACGGCUAAUUCCGUGCCAGCAGCCGCGGUAAUACGGGAGUGGCAAGCGUUAUCCGGAAUUAUUGGGCGUAAAGCGUCCGCAGGCGGCCCUUCAAGUCUGCUGUUAAAAAGUGGAGCUUAACUCCAUCAUGGCAGUGGAAACUGUUGGGCUUGAGUGUGGUAGGGGCAGAGGGAAUUCCCGGUGUAGCGGUGAAAUGCGUAGAUAUCGGGAAGAACACCAGUGGCGAAGGCGCUCUGCUGGGCCAUCACUGACGCUCAUGGACGAAAGCCAGGGGAGCGAAAGGGAUUAGAUACCCCCGUAGUC
rnacentral:rRNA from 1 species